rnacentral:rRNA from 1 species
GCGCACCAGGCGAGAAUUUUUCUCAAUGGGCGAAAGCCUGAAGGAGCGACGCCGCGUGGGGGAUGAAGGGUUUCGAUCCGUAAACCCCUGUCAUUUGCGAACAAACCUUAGCAUUUAAAAGAUGUUGAGCUGAUUGUAGUGAAAGAGGAAGGGACGGCUAACUCUGUGCCAGCAGCCGCGGUAAUACAGAGGUCCCAAGCGUUGUUCGGAUUCACUGGGCGUAAAGGGUGCGUAGGUGGCUUGGUAAGUUUGAUGUGAAAUCUCCGGGCUUAACCCGGAAAUGGCAUUGAAUACUAUUGAGCUGGAGGUUUGGAGGGGGGACUGGAAUUCUCGGUGUAGCAGUGAAAUGCGUAGAUAUCGAGAGGAACACCAGUGGCGAAGGCGAGUCCCUGGACAACACCUGACACUGAGGCACGAAAGCUAGGGGAGCAAACAGGAUUAGAUACCCCUGUAGU